ACUAAGGUGGCAGAGCAUGGUAAUUGCAAAAGGCCUAAGCCCUUUCAACCAGGGGUUCAAAUCCUCUCCUUAGUU
rnacentral:tRNA from 1 species